CAGCCAAAAUCCUCUCUGCAGGACAGCCUCAAUCCAAGGUGCUUCACCACUCAGAUGUGAAAUGUUUCUUUUGUACUAAGCCAGAAGAAAUUCACCAGACUGAAGACAGGCAAGAGGCAAAGAAGAAAUUCCCUCAUUGAUUCUGUCAAGAUCUUUCCUCCCCCUGACCUCUGGUCCCAUUUCAUAUUCGGUCAUUUCCUAUUUCACAGAGGCUACCUCUGCAAAAACCCACCAGCAAGAAAGAGAAAAGGGAUGAAGUUUUGAAAGAAGUCAUCUGAUCAGGCUGAUUACGUGAUGGACACCAGAUUAGCGGGCCCAGGAUAGGGAAACCCUGAUCAGGUGUUGCAAAUUUACCUCCAUACCUGCAAAAAAGAAAAAAAAAAGAAAAGAAAAAGAAAGAACAGAAGAAUAUUACGAAUUCAUUCCCUCUCUCCCCCGACAUAAAAGCAUUUUUUUCAAUAGAAAGUAAUUUGGGCAGCUGGUGAACUGUGGAGCUCACCAAUCUAUGAGAUCUCAAACACACACAAGCUGUGUCUUCAUGGUUCAAGGAAGAACUGACAUUAUGCCUGGAAGGAUUAUCAAUCACCAGCUGCACAAUAUCAUCUGUUGUAAAUUGGGAGCCUGAUUAAUAACAGGGAUUCGUGCAUGGUCCUUGAAAAUUGUGAUCUUUAUUGACUAAACUGGACUGGUGACUUUCUUUUUUCAUGUUGUUUGCACUCAAUUUGUGCUGCUUUCUGUUACUGCUAGUGUAUAUUACUAUUUCUGUUGUGAUUGUUUUCCACAUUAUAUAAAGUCAACAGUGAAGUGUUGGGUGAAGCAGGUAAAUUUUUUAUCAGUUGUGUAUGAGA